UACGGAGGAUGCAAGCGUUAUCCGGAAUGAUUGGGCGUAAAGCGUCCGCAGGUGGCGAUGUAAGUCUGCUGUUAAAGAGUGAGGCUCAACCUCAUAAGAGCAGUGGAAACUACAUAGCUAGAGUACGUUCGGGGCAGAGGGAAUUCCUGGUGUAGCGGUGAAAUGCGUAGAGAUCAGGAAGAACACCAGUGGCGAAGGCGGGUCUCUGGACAGUUCCUGACGGCUGAGGCACGAAGGUCAGGGGAGCAAACGGG
rnacentral:rRNA from 1 species